rnacentral:lncRNA from 1 species
AUGGGAUCCUCUGGUGGCUUUGUCCUGAACCUGGAGCCAACCUGGAGUUCCCUCAGCCUGGUGGGAUCUCAGCAGGUUCUCCCAGAUCCAACCCUGGAGUUCUCCAGGUCCCUCAGCCUGGUGGGAUCUCAGCAGGUUCUCAAGGUCCCUCAGCCUGGUGGGAUCUCAGGGGCUUCUCCCACACCCAUUCCUGGAGUUCUCCAGCUCCCUCAGCCUGGUGGGAUCUCAGGAGCUUCUGAAGGUCCCUCAGCCUGGUGGGAUCUCAGCAGGUUCUCCCAGAUCCAACCCUGGAGUCCUCCAGGUCCCUCAGCCUGGUGGGAUCUCAAAGGGGUUCUCCCAGAUCCACCCACGAGGUCUGGGAUCCACCAGGAUCCACCAAACCGUGGUGGACACCAUGGGUUCCUCUGGUGGCUUUGUCCUGAGGACCUGGAGCCAACCUGGAGUUCCCUCAGCCUGGUGGGAUCUCAGCAGGUUCUCAAGGUCCCUCAGCCUGGUGGGAUCUCAGGAGGUUCUCAAGGUCCCUCAGCCUGGUGGGAUCUCAAAGGGGUUCUCCCAGAUCCAGCCACGAGGUCUGGGAUCCACCAGGAUCCACCAGAACCAUGGUGGACACCAUGGGAUCCUCCAAGGGCUUUGUCCUGAGGACCUGGAGCCAACCUGGUGGGAUCUCAGGAGCUUCUGAAGGUCCCUCAGCCUGGUGGGAUCUCAGGGGCUUCUCCAGGUCCCUCAGCCUGGUGGGAUCUCAGGGGCUUCUCCAGGUCCCUCAGCCUGGUGGGAUCUCAGGAGCUUUGCCCAGACCCAACCCUGGAGCUCCCCAGCUCCCUCAGCCUGGUUUUUUGCCCCAAAUUUGGGGUUUUUUUCCCCAAAACUUGGGGGGUUUUUCGCCCCAAAUUUGGGGUUUUUUUUACCAAAAAUUAGGAUUUUUUUUCCCCAAAUCUGGGAAUUUUUUUUUUCCCCAAAAACUGGGAAAUUUUUGUCCAAAAUUUGGGCAUUUUUUCUCCAAAAUUUGUUUUUUCCCCCAAAACUUAGGGUUUUUUUUUUUCCCCAAAAUCUGUGGGGUUUUUUUUCCCAAAAAUUUGGAUUCUUUUUGCCCAAAAUUUUGGGGUUUUUACCACAAAAUAAAGUUGGUUUAUUUUUUCCAAAAUUUCGGGGUUUUUUUUCCCCAACAUUUAGUUUUUUUUUUUCCAUAAUUUGAGGUUUUUUCCCCCAGAUCUGGGAAUUUUUUGCCGAAAAUUUGGGAUUUUUUUUUUUUUGCCCAAAAUUUGGUGGUUUUUGCCCAAAAUUCGGCGGUUUUUGCCCAAAAUUUGGGGGUUUUUUACCCGAUUUUUUUUUUUUCCCCCCAAAAUUGGAAUUUUCCUCGUUACCUUUUUGGGGGCCACGGGCGUUUUGGGCUCCGGUUUCUGCCGCUCCUUGUCCGGGGCGGGCGGCGUCGGCUCCGGGGCGGAUCACGGCCCGAGCCCCUCCCCCCUCCAGGGGCUUCAGCUCCGGCCCUGCAACCCCAGAAAUUCGGGAUUUUGGGGGGGAUGGACCCAAAAAUGGGGAUUUUGGGGGUUUGGAACAAAAAAAUUGGGAAUUUUGGGGGUUUAUGGC